GCAGGUUGUUUGACACUCAUUAUGUUCCCCUGUUCUAACAGCAGGUCCUACGCAGCGUCUCCAACCUGCAUCUCCUGCUCAGCACUCUGCAGGCGGUGGUGGUCCAGCAGGACAGCUACAUCGAAGACCAGCGGCAGUCCUCCCAUCCCAGCUCCCUGAUUGAGCAAGAGAAGCAGCGCAGCCUGGAGAAGCAGAGGCAGGAGUUGGCCUCCCUGCAAAGGCAAGUGGCUGCUCUCACCGAGGAGAGGCGGAAGAGGGAGAAGGAGUGGGAGUUGAGGGAGCAGCAGCUUUCUGAGAGAGAGUCGGCGGUGCACUCACAGCAGGAAAAUAAAUGCUGAGGGAGUCAUGCAGGAGUGCUUCACAAGCUGCAGGGGGU